AAGACUAUAGACCUGCGGAGUACCUGCGGAAGGAUCAUUAACGAAUAUCUAUGGCGUUGGUUGUAGCUGGCUCUUAGGAGCAUUUUGUGCACGCCCGUCAUUCAUAUCAUCUUUCCACCUGUGAACUAUGUGUAGGCCUGGAUACCCCUCGCUUUGGCAACAAGGCGGAUACAAGGAUUGCUGCGUCGCAAGGCCGGCUCUCUUUGAAUUUCCAGGUUCUAUGUCUUUUACACACCCCAU
rnacentral:misc_RNA from 1 species